rnacentral:tRNA from 1 species
GUGGCCGUAGCUCAGUUUGGUUAGAGCGUCAGGUUGUGGCCCUGAAGGUCGCGGGUUCAAAUCCCGUCGGUCACCCCA